UACGGAGGGGGCGAGCGUUAUUCGGAAUUAUUGGGCGUAAAGGGCGCGUAGGCGGCUUGCUAAGUCAAAGGUGAAAUCCCUCGGCUCAACUGAGGAACUGCCUUUGAAACUAGCGAGCUUGAGGCCGGGAGGGGGUAGCGGAAUUCCCAGUGUAGCGGUGAAAUGCGUAGAUACUGGGAGGAACACCAGUGGCGAAGGCGGCUACCUGGACCGGUUCUGACGCUGAGGCGCGAAAGCGUGGGUAGCAAACAGG
rnacentral:rRNA from 1 species